AUGAUAUUCCGGUUUGAGGAAGAAACAGAGAGCGGAGAUGAGUUGUUGAAGGUAGCCGGAGGCGUAUCGAGAAAAUGGAGCAAAGAGAGAUAUUUGAUUGAAAAGCAAACAAUAGUGUUUAAGAGUAGCAUUCCAGCCUUCAAGAAUAUGAAAGAAACAGAACCUGAAUUUGGAGCGGAGACAAAUAGAAAUCUAAAGAGGAGGAAGUUUCAGAGUUGGGGUUUGGAUGGUUUUGAGUAG